rnacentral:rRNA from 1 species
GAACGUCGUGAGACAGUUCGGUCCCUAUCUGCCGUGGGCGUUGGAAGAUUGAAGGGGGCUGCUCCUAGUACGAGAGGACCGGAGUGGACGAACCUCUGGUGUUCGGGUUGUGUCGCCAGACGCAUUGCCCGGUAGCUAAGUUCGGAAUCGAUAACCGCUGAAAGCAUCUAAGCGGGAAGCGAGCCCUGAGAUGAGUCUUCCCUGAUACUUUAAGUAUCCUAAAGGGUUGUCGGAGACUACGACGUUGAUAGGUCAGGUGUGUAAGUGCUGUGAGGCAUUGAGCUAACUGAUACUAAUUGCCCGUGAGGCUUAACCAUACAACACCCAAGGGGUUU